UACGAAGGGGGGCUAGCGUUGCUCGGAAUCACUGGGCGUAAAGCGCACGUAGGCGGAUCUUUAAGUCAGGGGUGAAAUCCCAAGGCUCAACCUUGGAACUGCCUUUGAUACUGGGGGAUCUCGAGUCCGGAAGAGGUGAGUGGAACUGCGAGUGUAGAGGUGAAAUUCGUAGAUAUUCGCAAGAACACCAGUGGCGAAGGCGGCUCACUGGUCCGGUACUGACGCUGAGGUGCGAAAGCGUGGGGAGCAAACAGGG
rnacentral:rRNA from 1 species